rnacentral:rRNA from 1 species
GGUUAAGCGAAUAAGCGUACACGGUGGAUGCCUAGGCAAUCAGAGGCGAUGAAGGACGUGCUAAUCUGCGAAAAGCGUCGGUAAGGUGAUAUGAACCGUUAUACCCGACGAUAUCCGAAUGGGGAAACCCAGUAUCCAAUGGAUACUAUCAUUAACUGAAUCCAUAGGUUAAUGAGGCGAACCGGGAGAACUGAAACAUCUCAGUACCCCGAGGAAAAGAAAUCAACCGAGAUUCCCCUAGUAGCGGCGAGCGAACGGGGAGCAGCCCAGAGUCUUAAUCAAUAGCAGUGUCAGGAGAACGGUCUGGAAAGUCCGGCAGUAAAGGGUGAUAGCCCCGUAUCUGAAGAUGCUGUUAUUGUGAACUCGACGAGUAGGGCGGGACACGUGUUAUCCUGUCUGAAUAUGGGGGGACCAUCCUCCAAGGCUAAAUACUCCUGAUUGACCGAUAGUGAACCAGUACCGUGAGGGAAAGGCGAAAAGAACCCCGGCGAGGGGAGUGAAAAAGAACCUGAAACCGUGUACGUACAAGCAGUAGGAGCCUCUUUAUGGGGUGACUGCGUACCUUUUGUAUAAUGGGUCAGCGACUUAUAUUCUGUAGCAAGGUUAACCGUAUAGGGGAGCCGUAGGGAAACCGAGUCUUAACUGGGCGAAUGAGUUGCAGGGUAUAGACCCGAAACCCGGUGAUCUAUCCAUGGGCAGGUUGAAGGUUGGGUAACACUAACUGGAGGACCGAACCGACUAAUGUUGAAAAAUUAGCGGAUGACUUGUGGAUGGGGGUGAAAGGCCAAUCAAACCGGGAGAUAGCUGGUUCUCCCCGAAAGCUAUUUAGGUAGCGCCUCGUGAACUCAUCUUCGGGGGUAGAGCACUGUUUCGACUAGGGGGUCAUCCCGACUUACCAACUCGAUGCAAACUGCGAAUACCGAAGAAUGUUAUCACGGGAGACACACGGCGGGUGCUAACGUCCGUCGUGAAGAGGGAAACAACCCAGACCGCCAGCUAAGGUCCCAAAGUCAUGGUUAAGUGGGAAACGAAGUGGGAAGGCUCAGACAGCCAGGAUGUUGGCUUAGAAGCAGCCAUCAUUUAAAGAAAGCGUAAUAGCUCACUGGUCGAGUCGGCCCGCGCGGAAGAUGUAACGGGGCUAAACCAUGCACCGAAGCUGCGGCAGCGACACAAAGUGUUGUUGGGUAGGGGAGCGUUCUGUAAGCCUGCGAAGGUGUACUGUGAGGUAUGCUGGAGGUAUCAGAAGUGCGAAUGCUGACAUAAGUAACGAUAAUGCGGGUGAAAAACCCGCACGCCGGAAGACCAAGGGUUCCUGUCCAACGUUAAUCGGGGCAGGGUGAGUCGACCCCUAAGGCGAGGCUGAAAAGCGUAGUCGAUGGGAAACGGGUUAAUAUUCCCGUACUGGUGGUAACUGCGAUGGGGGAACGGAGAAGGCUAGGUUGUCCGGGCGACGGUCGUCCCGGUUCAAGCAGGUAGGCAGAGUGAUUAGGCAAAUCCGGUCACUUAAUGCUGAGAUGUGAUGACGAACCACUAAGGUGGUGAAGCAAUUGAUGCCCCGCUUCCAGGAAAAGCCUCUAAGCUUCAGGUUACCAACAAUCGUACCCCAAACCGACACAGGUGGUCAGGUAGAGAAUACUCAGGCGCUUGAGAGAACUCGGGUGAAGGAACUAGGCAAAAUGGUGCCGUAACUUCGGGAGAAGGCACGCUGGCGGUAGGUAAAGUCCCUCGCGGACGGCGCUGAAGCCAGUCGAAGAUACCAGCUGGCUGCAACUGUUUAUUAAAAACACAGCACUGUGCAAACACGAAAGUGGACGUAUACGGUGUGACGCCUGCCCGGUGCUGGAAGGUUAAUUGAUGGGGUCAGCCGCAAGGCGAAGCUCCUGAUCGAAGCCCCAGUAAACGGCGGCCGUAACUAUAACGGUCCUAAGGUAGCGAAAUUCCUUGUCGGGUAAGUUCCGACCUGCACGAAUGGCGUAAUGAUGGCCAGGCUGUCUCCACCCGAGACUCAGUGAAAUUGAACUCGCUGUGAAGAUGCAGUGUACCCGCGGCAAGACGGAAAGACCCCGUGAACCUUUACUAUAGCUUGACACUGAACAUUGAGCCUUGAUGUGUAGGAUAGGUGGGAGGCUUUGAAGUGUGGACGCCAGUCUGCAUGGAGCCAACCUUGAAAUACCACCCUUUAACGUUUGAUGUUCUAACCUAGGCCCAUAAACUGGGUCGGGGACCGUGUCUGGUGGGUAGUUUGACUGGGGCGGUCUCCUCCUAAAGAGUAACGGAGGAGCACGAAGGUUGGCUAAGCAUGGUCGGACAUCAUGCGGUUAGUGCAAAGGCAUAAGCCAGCUUGACUGCGAGAGUGACGGCUCGAGCAGGUACGAAAGUAGGUCUUAGUGAUCCGGUGGUUCUGAAUGGAAGGGCCAUCGCUCAACGGAUAAAAGGUACUCCGGGGAUAACAGGCUGAUACCGCCCAAGAGUUCAUAUCGACGGCGGUGUUUGGCACCUCGAUGUCGGCUCAUCACAUCCUGGGGCUGAAGUAGGUCCCAAGGGUAUGGCUGUUCGCCAUUUAAAGUGGUACGCGAGCUGGGUUUAGAACGUCGUGAGACAGUUCGGUCCCUAUCUGCCGUGGGCGUUGGAAGAUUGAGAGGGGUUGCUCCUAGUACGAGAGGACCGGAGUGAACGCACCACUGGUGUUCGGGUUGUCAUGCCAAUGGCAUUGCCCGGUAGCUAAGUGCGGAAGAGAUAACCGCUGAAAGCAUCUAAGCGGGAAACUUGCCUCGAGAUGAGUCUUCCCUGUCGCUUUAAGUGACCUAAAGGAACGUUUAAGACUAAGACGUUGAUAGGCUGGGUGUGUAAGCGUAGCGAUACGUUGAGCUAACCAGUACUAAUGAACCGUGAGGCUUAACCUG